AUGCAAGAACCUGCCCGUGCAGCCCCUGGGGAGGAGCUGCAGGAGGUCACCCAGGGAGUGCAGGAGUGUUGGCUGGAGCAGGAGCUAAGUGUGGUGAUGGCACCAAAUAUGAAGGGCACAGGGAUGGCUCAGCAUCUGGUGAGAGAUUUACCACCCCAGAGUAACAGCUGGACCUUGCAAAGACCUUCCCUCAGUGCCAGGGAGGGCAGCUCUGCAGCUGGGGCAGUGGCACAGCCGUGUCUGUCUGUCUGUCUGCAUGUUAGCCAAGUUAGAGCUGGUUCUUUCCCCUGUGCACUCACCUGGUGUGACAGCACUGGUAGCAAAAGACAUUUCAAGCACUUCUGAAUGGGGACACCAUCCAGGUAAUUUGUUUGUUUGUUGAAAUGACACCACACUGCCUGCAGGGCCAUGUGUUAAACCUUCUCAAGCAAUAUAUAUUAAAAGAGAGAGAGUCAUAUAUAUAUAUAUAUGUUUGUACAUAAAGCAAAUUUGAUGCUUCAUUUAUGCAUUCUUCUCAUUACCAUCUCUUGGACAAAUUCCUGGCCAAUGAUCCCACUGUCAAAAAACCAAAACACAGUAACCUGCCCCUAGUUCUUGUGGGGUUUGUGCUGCAGAGCUGCUGGAAUAUGCAUGCUUACAACCCCUGGAAAUCACACUGUGAGUAGCUUUGGCUGUUACACAAAUUUCACCAGUACAUUGCAAUAUUUGGAGAUUUUUGUCACCUCUGGCAACAUCAUGACAGCCUCAUGUGUGGGAAAAAUAACCCAGGGCCACCUUUGGCCAUGUUGGGACGGAUUUGAGUGAUGCAGAUGACAGCCAUGCAGAGACUGGGGACAUCUUUUUGUUCACUGUUACCACAGGCUUCAUUUACAACAUUACUGUCUGUUCAAAACACCCCCUAAGCAAAAUCCUGGGUAUUGUUCAGAAUUUUUACAUCUGGAUACUCUUCUGGGAAACCUCUCACUAUGUUUUCGGAAUUAAAGUAUUACUGUAAGUGCUUUUAAGACUACUCAUAAUACAAACAUUUCAGUUGUGCAAACCCAUGAAUAUUCAUUCACAUGAAGUUGAGCUUUUGGUAGAUUCAGCUCCUGAUUAAGGUGUUGGACAAAAGAUAUUCUUUAGGAUAC
rnacentral:lncRNA from 1 species